AAGGCUUUAGUUUAAUUAAAUCGUUUGGUUUGCAUCCAGAAAAUGUGGGAUAGAGUCCUGCAAGUCUUA
rnacentral:tRNA from 1 species